GUGUGUGUGUGUGUGUGGAGGGGUUGACUGUACAUACAAAUGAAUGGAGUUGAACUGGGACGACCAACUCGAAGAAUGACAAAGUCCAAAAGAGAGUGAUGAAGAGGAGGAGGAGGAGGAUGGGCUGACUGAGGAUGACUGUGAGAGAUGAAGAGCAUGAAGAACAGAGAAAUAAGUCCAUGAUGUUCCUCUGAUGUGAGGAUUUUCUCCUCCUCCUCCUCCUCCCCCUUUCUCCUCCCCCGCUCCUUCUCCUCCUCCUCCUCCUCUUUAAGCACAUCCUGUCAUUUAUUAGCUAAUCCCUUCUUUCUCUCUCUCUGUUUGCUGACUCUUUGUCUCUCUCCUUCAUGCUGGGCUCAGAGCUGGUUCAAAAGUUCGAGUACACACACUCACUGUGAGAGAGUGUGUGUGUGUGUGUGUGUGUGUGUGUGUGUGUGUGUGUGUGUGUGUGUGUGUGUGUGUGUGUGUGUGUGUGUGUGUGUGUGUUAAAUAGAUCCUGCAGAGUCGCUCUGUAACGUUAACUGAAAUCUCUCUCUCUGUGUGUCUGAACUCAGAACAGAGUCCGUUCAAAGUUUGACUAAACUCUUGUUCUUGUAUUUCAUCUGAACUCUAAAACUCUCUGCGGCUGAUUGGACGGUUAUCACAUCAGCUGAUCAUCCUCUGGAGACCAUGAACACCUGUUCAAAACUGCAGGAACAAUCAGCCAAUAGAAACCUCUGUUCACAUUUUACCGAUAACUUAGAUUUGAUGACAUUGAUGCACGACUAUAACUCAUCACUGUGAAUGUGAUGGAAACACUCGUUCCUUUACAUUCAUUAUUAUAAAGUGAGUGCAUUAAAUGAGUUAAAAACUGUGUUUUAAUUAUUAUACAUUAUAAUAAACCUGUUCAUAUACAUUAAACUGUUGGUUUUUUCAUUCAUGAUUUUUUACUCCUUUUAUAUUUAGUUCAUAAUUUUCUCUCUGAUUAGAUUUGAUGUUUUUUUUAUGAACGUUUACUGUUAAAUUUAACUUGUGUAAUUGUUUGAUGUAAAUUUUGUUGCUGUUUAUUUAUUCCUGUCACCCAGCCAUCCACUGUAAUAUCCACUGUAGUUGUAUUAUAGUUUUCAGUAUAUUUUGUCCUACACUAAAGCCAAAUUAGCUGAAGCUUGACGUCUUGUGUGCAUCACAUUUUCAGUUUUUUUGUGGUAAUGUUGUUUGUAUUGUUCCUGUUAAAUAAACAUUAAAAUAAAAAAUAAAAAAAUAUAUAGAAGUUCAUUAUGAUACACUCUGAUUAUAUUCUUUAUUGUUAUUCUUAUAUUUCAUACAUUACUUUAACUAAUUACAUUAGUCCACAUUACUUUAAACAUCGAUUUCAUGAUAUUUACCGUUUUAAUCUUUCAUUAUAUCUCAUCUAAACUAUCUACUCCGGGUCCAGUCCAUUCAUAACUAUGAACUGAUUAUAUUUUAUACAUUAUUGUUUAUUCUAAUUACUUCACAUGCACUGUUUUACACCGGUUAUCUUUAACUCAUGACUCUAAACUGAAUUUAUUAUCAUACAGUUUGAUUUAAUUAGAUACUGAACAAAACAGUGAUUUAACGACAUACAUUAUAACCCAUCUGGUCACCAUUCAUACAUAAACUAUAAACCCUUUGACUUUUCAAACAUUAUCACACUUAAGACUCAAUUUAACGCCUCAGUUUAAUAACUUAGAUUACAAUCCAUCUAAUCACUUUUCGUACAUGACAAUAAAAUCUGUUUAUAUUACAUGAUAACAGAUUUAAGGUCGAAAGAUUUGAUCCUAAACUGGAACUG
rnacentral:lncRNA from 1 species